CACGUAGGACGCGAGCGUUAUCCGGAUUCGCUGGGCGUAAAGCGCUUGCAGGCGGUCUGAUAAGUUGGACGUGAAAGCCCUGAGCUUAACUUGGUAAGGCCGUUCAAUACUGUCAGGCUAGAGGGAGGCAGAGGAGAGUGGAAUUCCCGGUGUAGCGGUAAAAUGCAUAGAUAUCGGGAGGAACACCAGUGGCUAAGGCUACUCUCUGGGUCUACCCUGACGCUCAGAAGUGAGAGCCAGUGGUGCAAACAGG
rnacentral:rRNA from 1 species